ACGAUAAAUAAAUUUUCAGUUUAACAACAGUGCGUUGAUUGUGUUUUUUUUGUUUUUCAUCGCUGAAUCGCAAUCGUUCGUCCAGUUUUUCGUACUGAAUUUUCGGAUUGUUUUCAAACUCUCAUUAUCCCAUUUGUUAAAUCGAUGGAGCUUCUUGGUGACGAGGCUUCUCACAGCUCGGUACAAGGCUCCAGGUAAUCGUCGUUGAGCGACACGACGCUCGCCAUCUUGAGGAAUAUCCAUCACAAAGGCUCAACACUCCCGUGAGUUUCGGAGCGUAAAGUAAUUUAUCAGGACACCGUUAUGAAUUUAUUAUCGACCUUGGACAAAGGCGCCGCUGCUGCCGGUGAAAAAGUGACUUUUUGCUUCUCCCGCGGGGCAGGUAACGAGCUGGAAAUGCGGUUUCGGGGUGAAAAAACGCGAGGGAAUCGUCGACGAGGAGUUUCCAAGCGGCGAGAAUUUUAUUCGAUUUUUUCUCAAUUUUUUGCUCAUUUAUCAAGAUCGUUCAACAUCCGGCGCUGCGAUUCGACGCGACGAAAUCGACGGAACAUCGAAAAGCAUUAAAAAACGCAUUUUCUCCCUCCAAACCCUUCUCACUCCCCUGGCCGAGAUGAAACAAUUUCUGCGGUCACGAUUAUGCCGCGUUUUCAUGCUCCUCGCCCCUGUCGUAUUUACACGCCCCUCGGCAUAAAUAUUAACAAGAAUAAUCCGCAUUAAGAAUGUCCAAGUUACUGAAACAAUGACGUUAAUAAAAUUCUCGUGCUGAAACGAGCAUUUGAAUAUCGAAUGGAGGCCUCGAUCAGCAUUUAUCUUCACACAGCGACUAAUUGGUAUUAAAAUCUCGGGGAGAACGUCUCGGUCGCAAACGAAUUGUUAAUCAUCGUUUGUUUCAUUGAAAGAAGGAUCGUCGUUGAAGC